UUUACUCUAACACCCGUGAAUAAAAGUCACAUUUUGUACACAAUGUGAAGAUGAAGGCAAAAGCAGAAUUGGGUUAAUAACUUGACCCUUAUUUUAAAGAGUGAAAGGAAAAAGUAGGGCACUAUUGUUCGUCUAGUGUGCUUGUUAACUGACAGACAAAUUAUUGAUCAAAAAGGCAGUCAAUGAUAAAACACUGGAUAAGAUUCAGAGAUCCACAGAAUCUGUCAGAAGAGUCCUGACUGUAAAACAUGGUGGUGGCGGCAUCGUGCUGUGGGGAGGCUGUUCUUCCUCAGGGACAGUGAGAGCUGAAGGGGAAACAGAUGGAGUCGAGCACAAAAUCGUCUGUGCAGACUCGACACUGUGGCUAAUAUUCACCUUCCAGCAGCACAAACGUCUUAAAUACAGCCAAAGCUGCCGGUUUGGAUUUUAAAAAAAAAAUGAAUCCGUUAGAAGGGACCAGUCAAAUCCUGGUCGAGAUCCAAUUUAAGACUCAUUGGCAAUCUUUCAAAAAAAAAAAGUAUGUUUACAGACACUUUUCAUCCAAAAUGACGCCGCGUUGCAGAGGAGACAGGGCAUUAAUGUCGGCCUCUAAAAGCCGGUGUACCCCCAGAAGACUUGCAGCUGUAAUUACAGUGAAAAGCGGUUCCAGUAGCAAUCAAAGCCCCACGAGCACAAACACUGUUCCUGAAAAGCAUCCAUUUGUGAAGCAAUUCUGUAGGACACCAGCCACAUAAAGAAGAGAUUUAUAUCACUAAACUCCGAUCAGUAGCCGCAUUUAAUCUAGUUUCAAAUUGUAUUGAUAUUUGUUGAUGCUCUCAUUGAAGACAGUGAGAACAAACCCGACAAAAACUGCAGUGUGAGUUUAAAAAGGAAAAAAAAAAAGAAACAGAAUCGGAAUCUAUAGUGACAACGAUAAAUCAAAAAAAAAAUCAAAAAUCUUAUCACGAUAAAACGACAUUUCCGUAGCUGCAUUCAGCGAUCGCCACGUAAAGAAUUCAGCAAGUUGUAGUCACUUAAAGCCAAGUCCCUCGCAGUUAUUAUGCAUCACUUUUGCAUAUCUCCCAGCUAAUACAGCUGCGUGAUUGUGUUUGCCAUUAGCGGGCUGCGUCACCGUCCCCCUUAUUGGUUUGAAAUUCCAUUAAACAUAUUGCUCCAGCUCCCAGGUUUAAGCUUGAUUUAAAUUUGCAUACAUUUUCAUACAUUUAGAAGAAAUAAAAAGAAGGCUGCAGCAGCCACCAGAAAGUCAUUAGAAGAGCGGAGAGAGGCACAAGCUGCGCUGACGGAGAACCGAGGCUGAGACGGUGGGGGGAGAGAGAGAGAGAGAGAGAAGAGGCCGGAGCAGGUGCUGCUGGCAGCAGAGGCUGGUGCCGUUACAGGGUCACAGAAAGGAGCCAUGUUGGUUUUAGCAAAAAAAAAAAAAGGGACAUAAAAGUUUACCAUCUGUUAAACUUCAAACUGUCCACACAAACACAGAGCAUCCUGCACAGAGAUCACUGAAGAGGAAAAAAAAA